CAACAACAAAAAUAAUAAUAUCAGUACAGAAGAUUGUGUUGAGAGCAACAUGCCAGGGCAGGCCCACAACCAGUCUCCGCGCAAAAAUUGGUAGCUACUAGCUAGAUUGAGUUGGACGCACGCGAAAGCAUUCGAUUGUGGAGUGGGUUGUGAGGCUGAAGCUGAGGAGAAAAUUUUUUGUUGGACUUGAAGUGGGAAUUGGAUGUUUGAGACAGAAGGCUGGAAUAUGGUUGUUGAGUGCUGGAUGCUGUGCCGUGCUAUGCCUCGAACUGCGAUUAUCUGUCGUGUAGCAUACAAAACGAGCAACGAGGCAAACUGAACCGAACCAAAGCGGACAUAAAAUUUUU